rnacentral:rRNA from 1 species
UGCCAGCAGCCGCGGUAAUACGUAAGUCGCAAGCGUUAUCCGGAAUUAUUGGGCGUAAAGCGUCCGUAGGCGGUUUUAUAAGUCUGUAGUUAAAUCCCAGGGCUCAACCCUGGAAUCGUUAUGGAAACUAUAAAACUUGAGGUAUGCAGGGGUAGAUGGAAUUCCAGAAGUAGGGGUAAAAUCCGUAGAUCUCUGGAGGAACACCAAACUCGAAGGCAUUCUACUGUGCAUUACCUGACGCUAAGUGACUAACGUGUGGGGCGAAAACGGUCUUCGAUA